rnacentral:lncRNA from 1 species
GCAGAGCCUAGCAAACUUCCUUUUCUGUGAAAGUCCACGUGUCAAACACUUAAGAGUGUGGAGGGCUGUGCAUCUCGUCUGCGACUGCUCACCCCGUCAAGAGUGACAGCAGCUUGCAGAUCACGGGCUGUGCUUCAGCCAAAGUCUACAGACACUGACAUCUGAAUUUCACACACUGUUCAGGUGAAACGCAGUACUGUUCCUCUUUGGAAGUUUUGAAAACAUGAAAGCCAUUCUUACCUCACAGGUGAUGUGAGACAGGUGCAGGGCCAGCUUUGGCCUUCGAGAAACAGCUUGCCAACCUGUGCCCCAGGCCCCGAAUCCUAUCACUUUCAUUCUUAACAAGCUUCUGAGGGAUCCUCGGCAGGGAACCAGUUAGAAAGGGGGAGGGGCUGUCCAAGAACAAUCAGAGCACAAACACCCGCUAAAUUACGAGAAGACACAGUCUACACUCAAGAAUCCAAGUUGCCCAGUAGCCUGGAGUGAGAUAGCGAUGCCAGGAGCCUCAAAGGCAUCACUGGGAGAGGUGGUCGCUAACAUUUCUAACAGCCCACGUUGUCAUAUUAUGAGUUAGGAUACAUUCCGGGUGCUUUAAGGAAUCAGCAGAGUAAAGCAAAUAGUGCAAAAGCAUCGCUACCAAAAAUGCUUGGAAAACAGAGAAAUUCUCCCUUGUGAGCAAAUACUCAGACACCCAGAGCGCCAUAAAUUCCAGGUCCACGUCACCAUCCUUCAGUGCUAAGGGAGCAGCAUCAAGUACCCAAACUAUACAGGGAAAACGAUUCACACAGAGUUUGGGAGUCAACAGGGGGUGAGGCCGGAGCCCUGUGUUACUCCAGUGCCCUUUCAAGGCACUUGAAGUUCCAUCUCCAUGUGUGAGUCGCCAUUUCCAAAAAAACUUAUCAAAUGUUAUUCUCUUCUCAAUUCCAAGAAUCUCCUCUUACCCUGGCCAUACUCUAACAGGUGGCACCUGUCGGCCCUGCUCUCCAUCCUUAAAUGCUUGGUUUUCUUUUGGAAAGGUCCAACGCCCUCCACAGCCAGGCCACUGGAGAGCAGGAAGCUGCCCUCGGGUCUCCGGAAAUGGUGGACAGUCUCACAUCUCAAGGCCUUCAAGCUCAGUGUCGGAGUACACUACCAGAACACAUGGAUCCAGCCGAUACCUGCAGAAGCAGCGGCCAGAAAUUAGCAACCCAAACACCAGCACCACCUCAGACAGGACCUGGCA